rnacentral:lncRNA from 1 species
ACUAACCUUCAGACUCUACAGAUACUGUGCUUCUGUGCCAGAGGUUACAGGUCAACUUUGAUGAAAGCCAUCAAAUAUUAAACAAGAUGCAAACUUUGCAUCUCCAAGAUGUACCUUUGAUUUGCGGUGAUACGUCAUAUUGUGUCCAGUCAGUGGACAGAACCAUGGCUGCUAGAUGAGCUCCUGCUGAAUGACCACACAGAUUACAUCAAAGAGCUUAGAAUGACCAAGAGGCGACGCUCAGUAGAGAGUUCCAUUGCAACAUCAGCGCCCAGCAACAGCCUCGCGAUUCCACCAUUUUGGAGUGAAAGCGAUCUGCGAUCAGCCGUCCAUUGGAUCUUAUUGCUAUUGCUUAUUGCUAAUAAAGCUUUUAUGUAAAAAGCCA